CGAGCCGACCGGGUGAUCGCGGCGCUGAUUCCCUCAGCGUCGAGGAAAGUCCGGGCUCCACAGGGCAGGGUGGUGGGUAACGCCCACCCGGGGCAACCCGCGGGAAAGUGCCACAGAAAGCAAACCGCCGACGGCAACGUCGGUAAGGGUGAAACGGCGGUGUAAGAGACCACCAGCACCGCAGGCGACUGCGGUGGCUCGGCAAACCCCACCCGGAGCUAGACCAAGCGGAUCGCAAGAUCCAGGCAGGAGAGCGGCCCGCUCGCCAAUCCUGCUGGUAGGUCGCACGAGGCCAUCGGCAACGGUGGUCCCAGAGGGAUGAUCACCCCUCGCUCACGCGAGGACAGAACCCGGCUUACAGGUCGACUCGUCCG
rnacentral:RNase_P_RNA from 1 species